GUGAGGGAAAGGCGAAAAGAACCCCGGAGAGGGGAGUGAAAUAGAUCCUGAAACCGUAUGCGUACAAGCAGUGGGAGCAGACUUUGUUCCGUGACUGCGUACCUUUUGUAUAAUGGGUCAGCGACUUACAUUCAGUGGCAAGGUUAACCAUAUAGGGAAGCCGUAGAGAAAUCGAGUCCGAAUAGGGCGAUCAGUCGCUGGGUGUAGACCCGAAACCAAGUGAUCUACUCAUGGCCAGGAUGAAGGUGCGGUAACACGCCCUGGAGGUCCGAACCCACUAAUGUUGAAAAAUUAGGGGAUGAGCUGUGGGUAGGGGUGAAAGGCUAAACAAACUUGGAAAUAGCUGGUUCUCUCCGAAAACUAUUUAGGUAGUGCCUCAAGUAUCACCAUCGGGGGUAGAGCACUGUUAUGGCUAGGGGGUCAUUGCGACUUACCAAACCAUUGCAAACUCCGAAUACCGAUGAGUGCGAGCUUGGGAGACAGACGUCGGGUGCUAACGUCCGGCGUCAAGAGGGAAACAACCCAG
rnacentral:rRNA from 1 species